GCCUAUAAAUUUCACUUAAAAAAAAAUUUCCAGUCAUCAAGUGAGAAAAAAAUUCUUCUAUAGGUGUACAAAAAAACUAUAUUGCCUCUUACAAAAUCCCCCCCCCCCCCAUCACUUUUCUAAUGGUCCUUCCCUAAUUGUUCAUUAUCGAAUCAUUGAUGUAAUCGUUCUGAGCGCUUGGUUCUCAGUGUUGAUCUCAGUGCAAUGACUAUAACUGGAAUGCUGUGUGUCUGGGGGUCAAGACCCGAGUGUCUAUAUGCCCCGAGAUACACCCCUUUCGAUAAUUAUGUCACACAUACCUUUUGGUCUUGGAGCCUCGCUCUCAUUAGUGAAUUACGCUAGGUGGUUGGCUCACGAUUCAUGGCGAGGCUCCUAGGCCAAAUUACGUAAUUAUUAAGUAUUCUCUGGCGUAAACAAUUAUUAGAAAAAAAUAAGAAAAAAACGAAAAGUGAAGUCAAAUGCAUUCAUAGAAAGCUUUGAGCUCACAGAAGUAGCGUAGAAAGAUAUUUAAUGUUUGGAGGGAUGAAAACCAGCUAAGAAGGUUUACGGAAGAAAUUUGAGGCUCGGAAAUAUAAUUUCUUGCACUUUCUGACGCCGAAUUUGGACGGCCAAAAAAUUCUGCAAAAAACUGCUUCGUAGUUGGUUUAAUUUUGGUCAGCCGAGUUUGUACGACUUGGUGCGAUCCAAAAUCGCGGGGAAUUAGCAUAGUCAAAAUAUCUGGCAAUGGAGGAAGCUCACGCUUUUCAACCAAGACAUAUACGACUUAUCCAUUUUUAUGGCGGCCUAGCCUUUUUCAGCUGGCCUUAAAUUCACUUAAGGAAUAUUUCAUUGAGCACGAUGUUGGUAAUUUUGUUCAAUUUGCCUUUUAAGCCUAGGUUUCCAUAGUCACGAUCUUUCUCAACGGCCAGUUUAUAAUAGUUUAUACCUGUAAACCACAUAUAAAUCAUAAGUAUUCUCUUGUUCUAAUCACUCCGCGUAUUUUCAGUUCUAGAAUGUUGUAUUUCGGCUGAUGAGAAAGAUCGUGACUCAAUCUUUACGACCGUUACGACCAUAUGGAAACCAGGCUUCAGGCAGCGAUCAAGAAUCCUCUCAUAUUACUGUUUUACUGUGAUCGUUUUUGGGUGGAGGUUAGCCCCCCCCCCCCACUUUUACCUCUGGGCCCCCUACACACGCGUUUGUUACAAAAUGCACAAGUUGUAACAAACCUGCAGCAGACUUGUAGCAAUGCUGUUCCAACAUCUUGUCAACAGGAUGUGUUCGCACUGCUUGUUCCCAGCUUGUUGACAAGUUGUCAACGGCUUGUUCACAACUGGCUACAAGGUUGUUGAGCUCAACAGACUUGUCACAAGUUGUUCUGAACAAACUUGUUAUCGUCCUGCAGUUCAACAAUUUGUCAACAUGUUGUGAGUGACAACCUUGUACCAUGUUGGUGAAAUAACAGCAUUGUUACAACUUGUUCGCAAGCUUACUGCAAGGUUGUUGAGCUCAACAGACUUGUUACAAGUUGUUCCGAAAAAAAGUUGUUAUCGUCCUGCAAUUCAACAAUUUGUCAACACGUUGCGAGUGACAACCUUGUAGCAACUUGAUAAAAUAUCAGCAUUGUUACAACUUAUUACUUAUUGACAAUUAAGCUUGCUACAAGCCUCUUGCGAACAUAUCUUGUUGACAAGUUGUGAGAUUUUUACGUGUGUGCAGUCAAACCCAAGCAUGCAAGCCAUCGAAAGUUGUAAAUUGGCUGCAUGCAACGUUAGCUAAUUUUGUAAGCACCUCUUGUGGCGCGCCAUUUUGUUUAGUCUACCUGAUGUGGAUUGCAGCUCGCGACCUGCCUCUUGCAUCAGCACACUUCAUUUUAACAGCUGGAGAAAAUUAGCUUUCUCUUCGAAAAUAAAUUAAUGUGUUCAUCAUCGCAAUGCUGGAAGCGGCCUGCAACGGCGCGCGUUCAUAAUCUUCGCUCAAUUUUUCUCAAUUUAACUACGACGAGAGUCUUACCCUUGCGACUCUGAUCUAUUUAAAUUAACCUAUAACUCAAUACACCAUUUGCAUUAUAGCCUGACUAAAUUUUGAUAUAGACAAGUCUAGACAAAAAUUUCAUCACAGGUUGAAAAAGCAUCACAAAAUUAGUAAUAUUCCGAAGUUUCGUUGCGAAAUGUUGUAAAAUGCGGAUAAUAUAGCCUUGCGAAUUUUGCAAUUUUCAGUCAUUUUGUAUUACAAACGGGAAAUUGAUGCCCCAACACCCGAUUGGGCUGGCAAUUUCCCGUGCGUAAUACAAAAUGACUGAAAAAUGGCAAACUUCGCAAGGCUAUAUUAUCCGCAUUUUACAACAUUUCGCAACGAAACUUUGGCAUAUUACUAAUUCUGUGAUGCUCUUUCAACCUGUGAUGAAAUUUUUGUCUAGAUCAAAAUUUAGCCCAUAACGCAAAUGGUCCAUUCCCAAGACCGAAUUUACACGAGGCUAGUUUUCCUGCACUAUUUAGGGAGCGGUCAUUAUGCAUGGCGGGGGAGGGGGGGACCGAAGGGAAAAGGGUUGGGUAAACAAAAUUUUGAGUGAGUAAAUGAAAAACAAAACAACUCAGCUGAAUAUCAACAGUCAUAUCUCAAUACGAUAUGUAAAUCAAUCAGAGUCACUGUCUUCGAUCAUUUCCCAUUUUGUCAGCAGGCAAAUGGUGUCUCCAAAGGGAUAUAGAUUCAUAUCUCGCUAAUAGGGUUAGCGGUUAGGGUUAGCAUUAUAAAUAGCGAGACAUGAAUCUAUAACCCUCCAAAGAAAGUACAUGUGCAGACAACAUCAAACUUCCCACCGGGCACACGACGUUGUUUCAACGUUGAAAUUUGGUAGAAAAAAGGUUGCGACGUCGACAACCUAAUAUCUACGUUGCUCUGACGUUGUUUUGCAAACAUUGGUUCAACAGCAGCCAACAGACGUUGAAUUAACGUUCAUUCAUGGUUAAAUGUACGACGUCGAUUUGUGAACCAAUCUCAACGUUGUUUUAACGUGGAUUCAACGUUGAAUUAUGGUUGACGAGAUUGGCAACCUAAUUUCAACGUUGUUUCAACGUCGAAACAGUAACGUCGAUCCAAUUUGCAUAGUCAACCCUUUUUCAACGUCUAUCCAACGUCUGGAAGGUCAUUUCCAACGUUCAUUCAACGUUGGAUAAACGUCAUUUUGCCCGCUGGGUUUAGACUGCAGAAAAUUGCACAAGCAGUUAUCAAACUCAUGUCACAGAAGUGGUAAAGGACAUGUGUGACAACGUUUUUGGCCAGGGGUGGUAUUUGUGCUUUAAAUUGAAUAUUUGAGUUUGGGUAAAAAUCCUUUUUGACUUUUUAAUUGUUGGUCAUCAAAAUUUUUACCAAGAAAACACAACAUUUUAGAACUGAAAAUAUGCGGAGUGAUUAUAACUAGAGAAUACUUAUGAUUUAUACGUGGUUUACAGGUAUAUAUAAACUAUUAUUAAAAACUCGAACUGACUGGACUAAUUUCUAAGUAGUUUUAUUUUCAUGUACAAUUUAUGCAGUUUUAAUAUCCUCGUACGAUCACAAUGCAUUCUAAACUCCCAGAGGUAAUGACGUUUGGGUGUUUACAACAAAAGGAUGAUUUCUAAAGGUUCACUUUUCUUUUGAGACACCCUGGAUAGCAAUCAUUUCAGACCAAAACCGAAAUGUUUUUGAACAGCUUUGCUUAUCUCGCGAACCAGCAUGGGCUAUUGGUAAUUAUUGUAUAUUUGGCCCCCAUGCAUGGCUUUUUUAGCCCCCCACUUCUUAAUUAGCCUCCAUGCAGACCAGUCGCGCUGAACGUCUUGACCCAUGCAUUGACCCCAUCAUUCAUUAAUGAAAUCAUUCUCAAUAUAAACUUGUGGCGAAAUAUCGGAACAUCAACGUUCUUUAUAACUACGUUCAAUGAUAGUGCUGUGUAUAUAAAGUUAAAAUAAUAUGGCUAAGUACUAAUGCUAGUCUUCCAGCCGCUCUUUGCGAAACAAAAGGAGUAAAGGCUCUUUUAAUUUCCACUCAUCCUAAAGACCAACUCGCUCGCAACAAGCCCGCUGCGAGGACUUGCAUCUAAUCAAAACAGACUGUAAAAAGAGGCUAAAAAGUAAAGACAAACGCCCUGUAUUCUAAAAGCUUAAUCACACUCAAAGAGAGGAGGUUCAAUCUGAGCUUCCCUUGUGUGUCAGUGCUGUUUUUGAAUAGCUGGAGGGUGAGUGGUCACAUAGUAAGGUACGGGACUAACCCUCCAGCUAUUCAAAAACAGCACUGGCACUCAAGGGAAGCUCAGAUUGAACCUCCACUCUUUGAGUGCGAG